UCUGAACUAAAGUUACUAAAUUUUCACUUGGUUAUGAUCCUGACUUGUGUUAGGAACUAUGCAUUCCUUUUAAUCAAAUGUUUGACAUCAAAUUUCUCUCUUUUUCUUCUAGGUAAAGGAGAGAAUAUACCAAGGUAAAUCUCUUCCUGUUGGUGUUUGGGAGGACUUUUAGGCAGGCUAGGAGCGACAGUGACUUUGGUGUCUGAUUUGACUCACUAACUGCUCCACAUUUUACUGUUGCUACUAACCAUGGUAUAGUGGGGAGGGUGAUGGUACCGGCUGAGCUAGGAGAUGUGGGGGCAGGGGUGACUGCUUACUUGGAGCAGACAGAGCGUGGCUGGGUCACACAGGUGUGGAGAGAGGACAGUGUGUCUGUGCUAGGGACACCUCGGCCCCUAUAGGUUUAUCGGCACAGGAGCUCGAGAGACAGCAGUGUAGAUGUGUAGCCUAAAGUUUCUUUUUCUCGUAGCAAAUGACAUUCAUUUGAAGUGAUCCAACUUAAUGUCAUGUGACACCCUGUUGUCCUAGCAGCCCACUGUUGAGAUUGUCUUGGGGCUUGGUGAUCUCUGGGCUGAGGCAGCUUCUUCACAUGGCAACCCCAAGGACUCUUUGUUCUUGGGCCAGCCAUGCCCUGGCCCUGCAGGUGUGGUCGGUUUCCAGCUUCAAUGGCUCCCAACAUCUGUAAUUCAUACUUAUGUCUGGGUCACUGGGGUGCAGUAGCAGCAGGCAAGCGGGGAAAGCUGCUUUUCCACCCCUUGAAAACUGGAUGUGUACGCUGGAGCCUUUGCCUUUGUGUCGGCCUCUGUGCCAGAGAAGAAACUCACUCAGCUUUCUGGAGAUGACACACGGGUCCGUACUCACGGCCUCUGCUGUUCUGUGGUUCUCAGGCACUUGGCCAGGGUCACCUAGGGGUACUUGUGGGGAUGGGGAGCCACAGUCCAGGCUGUGAGGGCAGAGGCUGGAGAGCAGCAUGGUCUGAGAUGAGGAAAGUGGUCAGGGUGCCACCCCAGCUGCAGAGGGUGCUCAGAGUGCGAGUCUGGACCCACGCCGGCCAGCUCCCCCUAGACCAUGUGGCAUGCUGUCUUGGCAGGAGCUCACAAACUCUAAGGGUGCAGUUGUCAUGAAAGUCAGUGUGUCAGUUCUGUUGGUGAAUUGUUUUUCUUUACAGUGUUUCAUGAGCAUUAGUUUAGUUUUGUGGAAGUCAAGACCACAGUUUUAGAAACGGCACAGGAAGACACAGCCACACUUGUUCUCUUUGUAGGUGGGGAAAAUAAGAAGGCUCACAUGCACCAGCUGAUGGAUGUCUCCCAGAAAGAUCUCCAACUCCUGCAGUCGAAGCUGAGAGCCUCCCUGUCUGCCAGAUGUGAUCUGGAAGACCAGAUCGUGAAGCUAGGUGAGGACCUCGGCAGGCUGCAGGCAGACAAGGCCCGGAUGAGGAGGAGUUUAGCAUGCUGCAGCAGAAGGUGGAGGUCCUGAAGGAGCUGUCCCACCAGAAGGAGCUGGAGCUGCAGAAGUGAGUCCCAGACAUUUUGCCCAGUGUCUCAUGCUGGCCAUUCCUGUCACUUCUGAUUGCCUAGCAGCUUCGAUGUGCAGUGAUCAUAGAGGAAACUUGGGGCCCAGGGUGCUGCUGGUUUCCUGU